AGCAAGAAUUUCAGGGGAAAUGGAUAUGAGAGAGUGCAUAGCCUACAGGUAGGUAUGUGGGAAAAGGUGUGGAAAUGUGGGUGGACUAGCAACUUGUCAGAGUUUGGUGGAGGAAAGGGAGCAAUAUUUCUAUUACCAUAUGCAAGGGUUAUUGAAUAAAAGACUUCAGUAUUGUGCAAGAAGUGAAAUGAGAGGAUCUAAGAAUUGAAUUUGCUGGAUUCUCUGUUUCAAAUUCAAUCAGCAGUUAUCCCUUUAAGUAGCCACAGAACCAAGAGAGAGUAGAGAUGAGAAGAUCAUCCAUCAUCCAAAUGAGGAAAUAAAGGUGUGGAGGUAAUCUCCUUGACUGCCCUUGAUGUCAAAGGUGCUUUAUGACUCACAAAGAAGAAUAUGCUGGCUGCAAGUGAUGUGAAUAAGUAGUGGUUUGACCUUCCUGAUAUCAGGUGGACUACACGAAGACAGACCUUUACCCCACAGUCAACUUUAAAACACCUCGCAAAAGGCAAAAUGCCCACUUCAGUCAUGUCCGCUGCUGAUCAUUAAUUGCUUCAGAAAAAGACAAUAUUUUAUCCGUCCUCUUUGGAGUUCGAGUAUGAAUGGUGAAGCAAAAGAGAGUGAAACUGAGUGAAACAUGAAAAGCUUGAUUUGUUAGGACCCCUGCUGUCUGAAAAGAGAUCAAAGCUCAGGAGGAGGCUGUAAAACAGCCGAAUGCACUGCACAGAAACAUGGCCUGUGGCAGCUGCUCUGGGCACGCUCUCACAACACAGGUGUACCUCCAAGUCUGCUCUGCCAGCUGAAUCAUGGGAGCAGGUUACCUCUUCUCCUUCUUCAUUAUUUCAACUGCAGUCACUGAGGAGACGUGGGCUCCAUCCAUCACAAUGCACAAAUUCACAGUGCGCAGAUUCAGCACAGGCCUAAUUAAAGCUUUUCCUUUCAUUUGUGGAGAUAAUUAGACUUUCAUCUCACCAGGAAGCUUCAGAAAGAUCUAUUUCUUUCUUCAAUA